UACAGAGGGUGCAAGCGUUAAUCGGAAUUACUGGGCGUAAAGCGCGCGUAGGUGGUUUGUUAAGUUGAAUGUGAAAUCCCCGGGCUCAACCUGGGAACUGCAUCCAAAACUGGCAAGCUAGAGUAGGGGCAGAGGGUGGUGGAAUUUCCUGUGUAGCGGUGAAAUGCGUAGAUAUAGGAAGGAACACCAGUGGCGAAGGCGACCACCUGGGCUCAUACUGACACUGAGGUGACGAAAGCGUGGGGAGCAAACAGG
rnacentral:rRNA from 1 species